rnacentral:rRNA from 1 species
GACAACUAGGAUGUUGGCUUAGAAGCAGCCAUCAUUUAAAGAGUGCGUAAUAGCUCACUAGUCGAGUGACACUGCGCCGAAAAUGUACCGGGGCUAAACAUAUUACCGAAGCUGUGGAUUGUCCUUUGGACAAUGGUAGGAGAGCGUUCUAAGGGCGUUGAAGCAUGAUCGUAAGGACAUGUGGAGCGCUUAGAAGUGAGAAUGCCGGUGUGAGUAGCGAAAGACGGGUGAGAAUCCCGUCCACCGAUUGACUAAGGUUUCCAGAGGAAGGCUCGUCCGCUCUGGGUUAGUCGGGUCCUAAGCUGAGGCCGACAGGCGUAGGCGAUGGAUAACAGGUUGAUAUUCCUGUACCACCUAUAAUCGUUUUAAUCGAUGGGGGGACGCAGUAGGAUAGGCGAAGCGUGCGAUUGGAUUGCACGUCUAAGCAGUAAGGCUGAGUAUUAGGCAAAUCCGGUACUCGUUAAGGCUGAGCUGUGAUGGGGAGAAGACAUUGAGUCUUCGAGUCGUUGAUUUCACACUGCCGAGAAAAGCCUCUAGAUAGAAAAUAGGUGCCCGUACCGCAAACCGACACAGGUAGUCAAGAUGAGAAUUCUAAGGUGAGCGAGCGAACUCUCGUUAAGGAACUCGGCAAAAUGACCCCGUAACUUCGGGAGAAGGGGUGCUCUUUAGGGUUAACGCCCAGAAGAGCCGCAGUGAAUAGGCCCAAGCGACUGUUUAUCAAAAACACAGGUCUCUGCUAAACCGUAAGGUGAUGUAUAGGGGCUGACGCCUGCCCGGUGCUGGAAGGUUAAGAGGAGUGGUUAGCUUCUGCGAAGCUACGAAUCGAAGCCCCAGUAAACGGCGGCCGUAACUAUAACGGUCCUAAGGUAGCGAAAUUCCUUGUCGGGUAAGUUCCGACCCGCACGAAAGGCGUAACGAUUUGGGCACUGUCUCAACGAGAGACUCGGUGAAAUCAUAGUACCUGUGAAGAUGCAGGUUACCCGCGACAGGACGGAAAGACCCCGUGGAGCUUUACUGUAGCCUGAUAUUGAAAUUCGGCACAGCUUGUACAGGAUAGGUAGGAGCCUUUGAAACGUGAGCGCUAGCUUACGUGGAGGCGCUGGUGGGAUACUACCCUAGCUGUGUUGGCUUUCUAACCCGCACCACUUA